GUGUUUUAUGUCUGGCCUCUGUCUGUAAUGGUAGGUGAAGAGUAUUGUUUAACGCUUAUAUAAUAGUAAUAAUAGCUAGACUAUUAAUUAGUCUCAAUGAAUAUUAAACUAAACCUUAACGAUAAUAAUGCUAGGUUUCAUCGAAGGAAAAUAGAAUCGUUAAAAGUGAAGCGCUACCCGAGUUUGGAAUCAUCACUUUAACAAGUGAGUGCAUAGUUACUUUCAUCUUACACAUAGAUAUGAAGUAUUUUAUAUAAAUUACGUACUAUGUGUGUAUACCGUCUGAAUACUUGUUGUCUAUGUUGGAUGAAACAUUUUAUACAUGUUCUUAAAUGAUCUAAACUGUAUAUGUAUUUUAUAUCUACAAAAUUUGUUAGGUAAAACAUGGGUAGAUUAGAGGUGAGAUAAAUGAUGAGCGAUGAAAGAUGAGAUAAAUGAUGAGCGGUGAAAGAUGAUAUGAAUGAUGAGCGAUGAUAUAUGAGUGAUAAAAUAUAAUGCAAAGCGAUGAACUAAGCGAUGAGCCAAAAACAAUGAGCCAAAACGAUGAGCCAAAGCGAUGAGCCAAAAACGAUGAGUCAAAACGAUGUGCCAAAAGAUGACCCAAGCGAUAAACCCGUCAUCUAGUAGAGUAUGGAUGACAACCAUGGACUAUUCUAGACAGUCUAGUGGAACACUAGCAGGCUUGCAACCUGUAGGUGUUGUGAACGAUGUGUUCACCCGGUGUACUCUAAAAACCCAUAGACUGGUAUUGCGAGUGGACUCUCGAAAACGAUAUUGUCAAUAAACGAGAUAAACCUUGGCGACUAUGCAGACUUAGUGUCGAUUCCUUAGGAUACUCCUGAGGAAUGAAUGAACGAUGAAUAGUUGAAUCUUAGGGUAGAUCCUUAAGAGUAAAGAAAAUAAUAGGGAUGGGUAAUUGGGUUGAUUGUUUGAUGUUUAAUAUAAUAAUUAUAUUAUUGUGGGUUGAAAACCUAUGUACUCACCAGGUUUUCCAACCUUACCCACUUAGUUUAUUUAUAGCACAGGUGUUGAUAUGAAGUUAAAUUACACUGAGAGAUUAAGGAGAUAUAAAUCACUAGUGAUAAUGAAUGUACGUUAUGUUUAUGUUUAUGGUACUGUAUUGACGACGACAUUCCAAAUGUUUUAAAAUGAAUAAAAAUAUUUUUCUUCGGAAAUGCUUUGAUAACGUAUUUAUCAUAUUUUACUGAGAACAAAUUCCGCAACAUUUUUAUUGAAAGAGAUACUAUGAUUUUUAUAAAGCAUAAAAAAAAUCGGUCUUUUUUUGCCGUGAAAAUGGGGAUCUCACAGUUAACCCCGAACAAAACCUACCACCUUUUCUGCAUCACUUAGCGGAAAUCCAACAUUAGUUUGUCAUGAUUCUGAAUGAAGAUCUCGAUAAGUUCAAUGAUUUUUAUGUGAGUUUGUCGUCCGACUUCUGGUUUUUGGUUUUGUGACUUUUCUAUAUUUGUUCAAACAUACGUAGAAACUGAUACUUCCAAGUUUCAUUCCAAUCGAGCCCUAAUAUCCGAAACUCCCAGGUAUUAUCAAUUCUCUGAGGCCACAUCUGAUUAUACAAAGAAGAUGUAACCUUCAUUCGUAAAUAUGUUAUGUCAGACGGAUGAGAUUUUUCAAAAGUCUUGAAUGGCAACACUUGUUGGAUGAUCUUUACUUAUGGAAACAAGUCAGGUACUAUCAAUUGCUUGAUAAAUAUACUAGUUCUAGCCUACUUCUAACAGGUGAGAAAAAUGGAUUUACUGUUAAAACAUAAAUAUGUUUCUUUUUUUUUUACUUAGUGAAUUUAAGAGGGACAUGACACUAUCAAUACAAUUAAGAUCAUAUUUACUGAUGCCUCCAAUAUGCCAAGGCCCGAAUUCAGUCAAAAAAUACUAAUAACAUCAUACAACAAUGUUAAAGUUCAAUGCACCCUAUAUCGAGGAUGACUAAUUCAUACUUGAUUUUGCAUUACUGCUUAAAUUAUUAUGAAAUAUUAAGUUGCCAUGACAUAUUCCAUUUGUGUUCUUUGUCUAUUUCUUUUACAACAAUCAAAAAUAAUUUUAUCUUACAGUAGCUUCUUUCUUUAGUACAGAAGAAAUUAAGUAGAUAUAGACAUACAAUCCAUGAUCCAGUCAAGAAAACCAACACCAACAGGAAAACCAACACGCUUGUUAUUUUUGAGGAAUGAUUUCAUCAACACGGUGUUGGUGCUUAAAUAUGAUAGAUAUUAGUUAAUUAAUUAUUAACAAUUUAGUUUAAAAUAUGAUUAUUUAUUAUUGUAUAAUAUGGUUUGUUUUGUUUGUGUAGUGAAACGGUUGUCGAUGAUAGCUUUGGUUAUCUUGAUGCAUCCACCAAUGCCUACAUGACUGCAUUGUCUUUAACGGUAUAUAUGCAAUUUAGAAUCUUUAUUAUAUCAUCAUAUGUUGAUUGUUGAUUUUAAUAGUUUAUUUUUUUCAAGUUAAAAAGUAUGUUGUUAUUUUUAAUUAUUAUAUAUUUUUUUUCAAGUUGAAAGCAUGUUGCUCUUAAUUCCAUGAUAAGGCUUGAUGUUUAAUUAUGUGUAAACUUAAUUAUUGUUGCUUUGUAGGUUGUUGUUGAUCGUAUGCGUAAGAAGAUGAAGAGAUUAAGGCGGAAUGUGAACAAGUUUUGGCAGAAAAACAAGAAAUUUUCAAGAUGUAUAACGACAUUAAUUUUAUAACUCACCCAAUGAAGUAAACUGUCCACCUUGUUACUUGAUUUUUAUGAUUUGGUUUCGAUAUUUUGAAAUCGAUUUAAUCUUUGACACUUGAUUUUUUUAUUUGGUUUCAAUAUUGUGAAAUCGAAUAUGAGUAUAUAUUUUGCUUGUCAAUAUUAAUAUUUCAUUUAAUGCUUGCAAUAUAGUUUUAGCUUUAAAUUUCUAUGAAUUUUGGUUAUUAAAUUAAUACAUGAAAACUAAUGAUACAAAUAUCAUCACAAUUAGCAACAGAAGCUACCGACCCUUUUAACAAUUUGCGACAAGUGAAUCGGUAGCUAAUCCCUCGUUAAAUCCGUCACGAUUUCGUCGCUGACAUUUAGCGAGCAAGGUUUUUUCUUCGGGCAUAUUCCGUCGCUGAAGGUCUUCAGUGACGGAUUAGCGACGGAAAUGUCCAUCGCUGAUGCCUCUGUUUCUAGUUGUCUUGUGGUAGUUGUCUCUACCAGAGAAAAAUGCAAUUUGAUUGUCGAAGGUUUUUUUAGAGGUGAAUACACACCGAAUGCGUCUACUGGGUGGAGAAGGUGCUCUAAGAGGCGAGGCUUUUGUGACGACGGUAUUAAUGGCUACACAACUUUUUAGCGGCGAUAGGAGAAAGGUGUGGAGGGAAGUUUUCCUAGACAUAUUUCUGGGAUUUUAGCGGUAGCAGGCUGUCACCGCUAAUUCUAGAGUACAAAUGAAAUGCUAGCCAUAGGAUCCAUUACACUGUCAACAGUCAGGGUUAUCGCGCAAACGAAGCACACAGAUUGGGGUUUACUAUCCGUAGAGGUGACGCCUUUAACGUCAAUACCACAAAUGGCGGCGACAUUUAAACACGUUGACUAAAAAGUCACCGCUAUUGGUGUAAUCGUCGCCAAAGGCAUCGCCGUUAUAGCAGCGAUUACUUGUAGUCAAAUUUCCGGGCAUACAUUUUACUUGAACCAAAAGGGUAUUGGGUAUUUGCGAUUUCUUGGUGGAAACUCUUUUUUUUUGGUUCAUAGCUUUUUCUCAUGUAUGCCUUUAGAACAUGUGAAGCAUGUGACAUGUAUAUGAGUAUAUAACAUAUAUGGUUACGUAUCCAUCGAUAUGCUGUAGAUGCUUGUACUAUUGCAUGCGUUUUCCCAUUAUGUGUGUAUAGGCUACAUGCAACUUCGAAAGGGUCAAAUCUUGUGGUAUGUUGUUACCGCUUAUACUUGAUAAGGUAGAAUGUGUUCGGUACCCUCUAGAUAUAAGAAUCUUGGAUCUAGCAAAAAUAGUUGAGCGAAAAGGAAAAUAAAUGGAAUAAUUUUUAUGUAAGUUUUCAGUUUCAAUAUAUGAUUUUGCUAUAUAGUAUUUUUUAUAAAUAUUCCUACUAAUGAUUUUGGUUCAGUCAGCUUCAUUAUUUAUAUUCCUUUGAUGAAACAUCUACGUACACAUUUAAUUAAAAAUCAAAUGUAUGUUGAAUUGGAAUAAAAGGUACAAUGAAGUAACAAAUAUUAACAAAAGAAAUAAAAGAGAUAAUUAAUAGGAAAACAUCCUUGAUUCAUUGAUUGAUACUAUUCCUUACAUAAUUAAUAGAAAAACUAAACACGCCACGAAACAAUAAUCAUCUUUUAAAAAAUUGCUCGUCAACAUAUUAAAAGGGAAACUUCCAUAAACAAUUCCAACUUCAAAAGCAUUUUCUGAACUGACAUUUGCUUCAUCGAUCGGUCCAUCAACUUAGCCCUGCAAAAUUCAGGCAUGCAUAAGCACUUGAACGAGUACUUCAAGGUAUUUUAGACAUUUAUCUUGUUCACUAAUUUGUUUAAGCCUUGUAUUGAAUCAUAUAUAUCUUAAGAAGCAUUCAUGGUAUAAGCCACGAAUUUAGCUCCAACAAUAUUGUCAUGUAGGAGACCACACUCAAUGUCCAAAAAGGGCUUAAUUACAAAAUUAUAGAAGGAUUUUUCUUGUUAAAGAAAAGGAAAAUCAAGAAUUUAGUUUAGGGUUCGGUGUAAAAUACGAAAGAUAGAAAUUUACCUUAGUAGAGACCAUCAUAAUUUAGAGAGAGCAAGUGUAACCCGGAGGAGGGGUCUUGCCACAAGUAACAAGCAGCUGUAGAGCAAUUGGUAGGUAAAUAUUGAGGUUCAACAGUUUAACCUUCAAGGUUGUGCACAAGCAAACUGCAGCCUCUAGCUCUGCUAGCCCUGCUAUAAUCGGGCAACAUUUGUUGACCGCGGGGUCACCCAAUCCAAUGUUCACUAAACCUCCUAAAAGGUCUACACAAGCUCCCAACUUUAGGAUGUCAAUGGGGCAUGUUUCCGAUGCACCCGGCGGUGAUGCAACUGGUGGUGAUGCACCCUUUGGUGGUGGACAGGGUUCCCCCUCUGGUGGUGUGACAACCGGUGGAGUGACAACCGGUGGUGUGACGAUGGGUGGGACGACCGGCGGGAGGGGUGGGAGUGGGAGGGGUGGGAGUGUCACUGGCGGUUUAAUUGGUGGGANNNNNNNNNNNNNNNNNNNNNNNNNNNNNNNNNNNNNNNNNNNNNNNNNNNNNNNNNNNNNNNNNNNNNNNNNNNNNNNNNNNNNNNNNNNNNNNNNNNNNNNNNNNNNNNNNNNNNNNNNNNNNNNNNNNNNNNNNNNNNNNNNNNNNNNNNNNNNNNNNNNNNNNNNNNNNNNNNNNNNNNNNNNNNNNNNNNNNNNNNNNNNNNNNNNNNNNNNNNNNNNNNNNNNNNNNNNNNNNNNNNNNNNNNNNNNNNNNNNNNNNNNNNNNNNGGUGGUUUUAUUGGUGGGAGGGUCACUGGCGGUUUUAUCGGUGGGAGGGUCACUGGUGGUUUAACCGGUGGAAGGGUUACUGGUGGUUUUAUCGGUGGGAGUGUCACCGGUGGUUUUACCACUGGUGGAAGGGUGACGGGUGGUUUUACUACAGGUGGUAGGGUAACUGGUGGCUUUACGGGUGGUAGGGUAACUGGUGGCUUUACCGGUGGUUUGACAACCGGUGGUUUUUCGGUGGGUGGUUUUGGCUUGUCACAACUUCCACAGUCAAGAACUGGAUUUGCUGAAGAAACCAUGAACAGUGAAAUGAAGAAAAGAGCGGUAAGCCUCUUAGAGGACUCCAUUUUUGAUGGAUGUAAUGUGAAGUGAUGUGAAGAAGGGCUUAUAUAGAACUGCAUGAGUGUUUUACAUUUUACUUUUU
rnacentral:lncRNA from 1 species